rnacentral:rRNA from 1 species
AGGCCCAACACAUGCAAGUCGAGGGGUAUAUGUCUUCGGAUAUAGAGACCGGCGCACGGGUGCGUAACGCGUAUGCAAUCUACCUUUUACAGGGGAAUAGCCCAGAGAAAUUUGGAUUAAUGCCCCAUAGUAUAUAAGAAUCGCAUGGUUUUUAUAUUAAAGUUCCAACGGUAAAAAAUGAGCAUGCGUCCCAUUAGUUAGUUGGUAAGGUAACGGCUUACCAAGACAAUGAUGGGUAGGGGUCCUGAGAGGGAGAUCCCCCACACUGGUACUGAGACACGGACCAGACUCCUACGGGAGGCAGCAGUGAGGAAUAUUGGACAAUGGGCGCAAGCCUGAUCCAGCCAUGCCGCGUGCAGGAAGACGGUCCUAUGGAUUGUAAACUGCUUUUGUACAGGAAGAAACACUCCCUCGUGAGGGAGCUUGACGGUACUGUAAGAAUAAGGAUCGGCUAACUCCGUGCCAGCAGCCGCGGUAAUACGGAGGAUCCAAGCGUUAUCCGGAAUCAUUGGGUUUAAAGGGUCCGUAGGCGGUUUAAUAAGUCAGUGGUGAAAGCCCAUCGCUCAACGAUGGAACGGCCAUUGAUACUGUUAGACUUGAAUUAUUAGGAAGUAACUAGAAUAUGUAGUGUAGCGGUGAAAUGCUUAGAUAUUACAUGGAAUACCAAUUGCGAAGGCAGGUUACUACUAAUGGAUUGACGCUGAUGGACGAAAGCGUGGGGAGCGAACAGGAUUAGAUACCCUGGUAGUCCACGCCGUAAACGAUGGAUACUAGCUGUUGGGCGCAAGUUCAGUGGCUAAGCGAAAGUGAUAAGUAUCCCCACCUGGGGAGUACGUUCGCAAGAA